CCGGGCCCAGGGCUCACAUCCGCCGUGGGGAGGGCAACCUCCCGACCCCUCGGACCCACACGUACCACUGCAGCGCCGGUCGGCACCUAAGACUUAUUGUCUUGGAGAGCCCAGCCUUACCGAAACCCUGAGCCUACCUGGGGCCAGAAAGAGAAACCCCCAUUAAGAUUACAGUUAUGAGGCAGCAGGUGUACUAUAAGAACAAGAUCUGCAAGAAAAAAACUGGAGCCGGGAUGGGCCAUAUGAGACCAGCUGAGCAACAGAACACUUUGGCUCCUCUUUUGGAGAAGAAGGAGAGAAUCUGAGAACAAAACGUAAAAGACAAGAGAAAUAGAGGAUCCAAGAUUUCUUUUUUAAGAUGGCAGAGACCAGAGCAUGUUUGUAGGGAAAAAACUCUUUCCUUAGUGCCCAGGGAAAGAGGCACUAGAUUGGGAAAGAUUGAAAUUGAGAGGAAAAGAAUGAUAAGUUGCAUAGCACAAUGGGGAACUAGACUUGGAGUCAGAAAGACCUGACUUCAACUUCUCCCUCAGAUAUUCACUAACUGUGUAACUCUGGGCAACUCUCUCAACCCCUCUGGGCCUCAGUUUCCUUAUUUGUUAAAUGAGAGGGUUUAAUAAAUAAAAGACUUGGUGGUCUCUAAAGUUUUUGAGCUCUAAAUGCAAAAUGGUAGAUCAACCCAAUUUUUACAAUAAUGUACUGCAAACA